GAUGAACGCUGGCGGCGUGCCUAAUACAUGCAAGUCGAGCGAACAGACGAGGAGCUUGCUCCUCUGACGUUAGCGGCGGACGGGUGAGUAACACGUGGAUAACCUACCUAUAAGACUGGGAUAACUUCGGGAAACCGGAGCUAAUACCGGAUAAUAUAUUGAACCGCAUGGUUCAAUAGUGAAAGACGGUUUUGCUGUCACAUAUAGAUGGAUCCGCGCCGCAUUAGCUAGUUGGUAAGGUAACGGCUUACCAAGGCAACGAUGCGUAGCCGACCUGAGAGGGUGAUCGGCCACACUGGAACUGAGACACGGUCCAGACUCCUACGGGAGGCAGCAGUAGGGAAUCUUCCGCAAUGGGCGAAAGCUUGACGGAGCAACGCCGCGUGAGUGAUGAAGGUCUUCGGAUCGUAAAACUCUGUUAUUAGGGAAGAACAAAUGUGUAAGUAACUAUGCACGUCUUGACGGUACCUAAUCAGAAAGCCACGGCUAACUACGUG
rnacentral:rRNA from 1 species